rnacentral:tRNA from 1 species
AGUAGUUAAAGCACUCGGCUGUUAACCGAAAGGUCGGCGGUUCAAACCCGCCAACUGCUC